UACGAAGGGGGCUAGCGUUGCUCGGAAUCACUGGGCGUAAAGCGCACGUAGGCGGCUUCUCAAGUCAGGGGUGAAAUCCUGGAGCUCAACUCCAGAACUGCCUUUGAUACUGAGGAGCUCGAGUCCGGGAGAGGUGAGUGGAACUGCGAGUGUAGAGGUGAAAUUCGUAGAUAUUCGCAAGAACACCAGUGGCGAAGGCGGCUCACUGGCCCGAUACUGACGCUGAGGCACGAAAGCGUGGGGAGCAAACAGG
rnacentral:rRNA from 1 species